UCGAGAAUCUUUCGCAAUGGGCGCAAGCCUGACGAAGCGACGCCGUGUGAGUGAAGAAGGCCUUCGGGUUGUAAAGCUCUUUCGCUAGGGAACAAGAGAGUCCGGAUAAUACCCGGACGAUUUGAUGGUACUUGGUAAAGAAGCACCGGCUAACUCCGUGCCAGCAGCUGCGGUAAUACGGAGGGUGCAAGCAUUGAUCGGAAUUACUGGGCGUAAAGGGCGCGUAGGCGGUUUUAUAAGUCAGAUGUGAAAUUCCGGGGCUCAACCCCGGAGCUGCAUUUGAAACUAUAAGACUAGAGGUAGCGGUAUGGGAAAACGGAAUUCCACGUGUAGCGGUGAAAUGCGUAGAUAUGUGGAAGAACACCAGUGGUGAAGACGGUUUUCUGGCGCUAAACUGACGCUGAGGCGCGAAAGCUAGGGGAGCAAACAGG
rnacentral:rRNA from 1 species